GCGGACGUGGUGCACGGUGCACCGCUGCCUUCACUAGGUGCUGAAGAGUAAGCGUGUAAGCAGCCACACGGGGUUCGAUUCCCCGCGUCCGCC